AUGAACGCUAGCUACAGGCUUAACACAUGCAAGUCGAGGGGCAGCAUUUUAGUUUGCUUGCAAACUGAAGAUGGCGACCGGCGCACGGGUGAGUAACACGUAUCCAACCUGCCGAUAACUCCGGGAUAGCCUUUCGAAAGAAAGAUUAAUACCGGAUAGCAUACGAAUAUCGCAUGAUAUUUUUAUUAAAGAAUUUCGGUUAUCGAUGGGGAUGCGUUCCAUUAGUUUGUUGGCGGGGUAACGGCCCACCAAGACUACGAUGGAUAGGGGUUCUGAGAGGAAGGUCCCCCACAUUGGAACUGAGACACGGUCCAAACUCCUACGGGAGGCAGCAGUGAGGAAUAUUGGUCAAUGGGCGCGAGCCUGAACCAGCCAAGUAGCGUGAAGGAUGAAGGCUCUAUGGGUCGUAAACUUCUUUUAUAUGGGAAUAAAGUUUUCCACGUGUGGAAUUUUGUAUGUACCAUAUGAAUAAGGAUCGGCUAACUCCGUGCCAGCAGCCGCGGUAAUACGGAGGAUCCGAGCGUUAUCCGGAUUUAUUGGGUUUAAAGGGAGCGUAGGUGGAUUGUUAAGUCAGUUGUGAAAGUUUGCGGCUCAACCGUAAAAUUGCAGUUGAAACUGGCAGUCUUGAGUACAGUAGAGGUGGGCGGAAUUCGUGGUGUAGCGGUGAAAUGCUUAGAUAUCACGAAGAACUCCGAUUGCGAAGGCAGCUCACUAGACUGUCACUGACACUGAUGCUCGAAAGUGUGGGUAUCAAACAGGAUUAGAUACCCUGGUAGUCCACACAGUAAACGAUGAAUACUCGCUGUUUGCGAUAUACAGUAAGCGGCCAAGCGAAAGCAGUAAGUAUUCCACCUGGGGAGUACGCCGGCAACGGUGAAUCUCAAAGGAAUUGACGGGGGCCCGCACAAGCGGAGGAACAUGUGGUUUAAUUCGAUGAUACGCGAGGAACCUUACCCGGGCUUAAAUUGCAACAGAAUAUAUUGGAAACAGUAUAGCCGUAAGGCUGUUGUGAAGGUGCUGCAUGGUUGUCGUCAGCUCGUGUCGUGAGAUGUUGGGUUAAGUCCCGCAACGAGCGCAACCCCUGUUUCUAGUUGCCAGCACGUAAAGGUGGGAACUCUAGAGAGACUGCCGGUGAUAAAUCGGAGGAAGGUGGGGACGACGUCAAAUCAUCAUGCCCUAUAUGUCCUGGGCUACACACGUACUACAAUGGCUGUAACAGAGGGAAGCUACCUGGUGACAGGAUGCUAAUCCCAAAAACCUCUCUCAGUUCGGAUCGAAGUCUGCAACCCGACUUCGUGAAGCUGGAUUCGCUAGUAAUCGCGCAUCAGCCAUGGCGCGGUGAAUACGUUCCCGGGCCUUGUACACACCGCCCGUCAAGCCAUGAAAGCCGGGGGUACCUGAAGUACGUAACCGCAAGGAGCGUCCUAGGGUAAAACUGGUAAUUGGGGCU
rnacentral:rRNA from 1 species